rnacentral:rRNA from 1 species
AUUGAACGCUGGCGGCAUGCCUUACACAUGCAAGUCGAACGGCAGCACGGGAGCAAUCCUGGUGGCGAGUGGCGAACGGGUGNGUAAUAUAUCGGAACGUGCCCAGUCGUGGGGAUAACGUAGCGAAAGCUACGCUAAUACCGCAUACGAUCUAUGGAUGAAAGCGGGGGAUCGCAAGACCUCGCGCGAUUGGAGCGGCCGAUAUCAGAUUAGGUAGUUGGUGAGGUAAAGGCUCGCCAAGCCGACGAUCNGUAGCUGGUCUGAGAGGACGACCAGCCACACUGGGACUGAGACACGGGCCCAGACCUCCUACGGGAGGCAGCAGUGGGGAAUUUUGGACAAUGGGCNCAAGCCUGAUCCAGCAAUGCCGCGUGCAGG